ensembl:lncRNA
GGUGCUUAAUAGCAUCACCAUCUCAGCUGACAUGAAUUUGAGCAAACUCCGGGAGAUAGUGGAGGAGAGAGGAGCCUGGUGUGCUGCAGUUCACGGGGCUGCAAAGAGUUGAACAAGACUUAGUGACUGAACAACAACAAAUUAUCUGUGAUGGCACAUGGGAAUCAAAGAUAUCAGACACCAACUACCUCUUCCUCUGGACUGUGAAGAAGACUGAGCACCGAAGAAUUGAUGCCUUUGAACUGUGGUGUUGGAGAAGACUCUUGAGAGUCCCUUGGACUGCAAGGAGAUCCAACCAGUCCAUUCUGAAGGAGAUCAGCCUUGGGAUUUCUUUGGAAGGAAUGAUGCUAAAGCUGAAACUCCAGUACCUUGGCCACCUCAUGUGAAGAGUUGACUCAUUGGAAAAGACUCUGAUGCUGGGAGGGAUUGGGGGCAGGAGGAGAAGGGGACGACAGAGGAUGAGAUGGCUGGAUGGCAUCACUGACUCGAUGCAUGUGAGUCUGAGUGAACUUGGGAGUGGGUGAUGGACAGGGAGGCCUGGCGUGCUGCGAUUCAUGGGGUCGCAGAGUCGGACAUGACUGAGCGACUGAACUGAACUGAACUGACCUCUUCCUCUAAACUUUCUAGGUUAUUUCUUUUAGUACUCCAAUUCCAACAGUCCCUUGAACUCACCAAGACCAAUAAAGUGUUAUCCUGUUUCCUUUUCCCUAUCUUAUCAUU